UACGUAGGGGGCAAGCGUUGUCCGGAAUCAUUGGGCGUAAAGCGCGUGUAGGCGGCUCGGUAAGUCUGCUGUGAAAGUCCAGGACUCAACCCUGGGAUGCCGGUGGAUACUGUCGAGCUCGAGUCCGGAAGAGGCGAGUGGAAUUCCUGGUGUAGCGGUGAAAUGCGCAGAUAUCAGGAGGAACACCAAUGGCGAAGGCAGCUCGCUGGGACGGUACUGACGCUGAGGCGCGAAAGCGUGGAGAGCAAACAGG
rnacentral:rRNA from 1 species